rnacentral:rRNA from 1 species
UACAGAGAGUGCAAGCGUUGUUCGGAAUUAUUGGGCGUAAAGCGCGUGUAGGCGGCUUGAUAAGUCUGGCGUGAAAGCCUGAGGCUUAACCUCAGAAGUGCGCUGGAAACUGUCAAGCUGGAGUAUCGGAGGGGGAAGUGGAAUGCCGAGUGUAGAGGUGAAAUUCGUAGAUAUUCGGCAGAACAUCAGUGGCGAAGGCGACUUCCUGGACGAAUACUGACGCUGAGACGCGAAAGCGUGGGUAGCAAAC